GGAGAAGAAGCUGAUUUAAAGGAACAGGGGUCCGUCAAUCUCGUCAGGACCUGGUUGGGAGCAGUGUGACCAGACUGUUAUUCUGGCUGCAAUUGA
rnacentral:SRP_RNA from 11 species